rnacentral:rRNA from 1 species
AUUGAACGCUGGCGGCAGGCCUAACACAUGCAAGUCGAGCGGAUGAAGGGAGCUUGCUCCUGGAUUCAGCGGCGGACGGGUGAGUAAUGCCUAGGAAUCUGCCUGGUAGUGGGGGAUAACGUCCGGAAACGGGCGCUAAUACCGCAUACGUCCUGAGGGAGAAAGUGGGGGAUCUUCGGACCUCACGCUAUCAGAUGAGCCUAGGUCGGAUUAGCUAGUUGGUGGGGUAAAGGCCUACCAAGGCGACGAUCCGUAACUGGUCUGAGAGGAUGAUCAGUCACACUGGAACUGAGACACGGUCCAGACUCCUACGGGAGGCAGCAGUGGGGAAUAUUGGACAAUAGGCGAAAGCCUGAUCCAGCCAUGCCGCGUGUGUGAAGAAGGUCUUCGGAUUGUAAAGCACUUUAAGUUGGGAGGAAGGGCAGUAAGUUAAUACCUUGCUGUUUUGACGUUACCAACAGAAUAAGCGCCGGCUAACUUCGUG